UCUUGCAGUCACAUCACCUUAGGCUAUGAACUCAUCAGAUCUUGUAGUCUCAGUAAGGUCACAUCUAGAUAGUAUUUGGCAAGAGAGUCCUCCAAGGAAAGAAAUCUAGGCAUUGCAGAAU
rnacentral:rRNA from 1 species